UACAGAGGAUGCAAGCGUUAUCCGGAAUGAUUGGGCGUAAAGCGUCUGUAGGUGGCUUUUUAAGUCCGCCGUCAAAUCCCAGGGCUCAACUCUGGACAGGCGGUGGAAACUACCAAGCUGGAGUACGGUAGGGGCAGAGGGAAUUUCCGGUGGAGCGGUGAAAUGCGUAGAUAUCGCUUGGAACGCCAAAGGUGAAAACAGGUUGCUGGGGUUGUGCCGACGCUGAGACGACGAAAGCCAGGGGAGCAAACGGG
rnacentral:rRNA from 1 species